rnacentral:rRNA from 1 species
GUGACAGCAGCCGCGGUAAUACAGAGGUCUCAAGCGUUGUUCGGAUUCAUUGGGCGUAAAGGGUGCGUAGGUGGCGAUGUAAGUCGGGCGUGAAAUCCCGGGGCUCAACCCCGGAACUGCGUUCGAUACUGCUUUGCUUGAGGACUGGAGAGGAGACUGGAAUUCACGGUGUAGCAGUGAAAUGCGUNGAUAUCGUGAGGAGCACCGGUGGNGAAGGCGGGUCUCUAGACAGCUCCUGACACUGAGGUACGAAGGCCAGGGGAGCAA